AUUGAACGCUGGCGGCAGGCCUAACACAUGCAAGUCGAACGAGUGGCGGACGGGUGAGUAAUGUCUGGGAAACUGCCUGAUGGAGGGGGAUAACUACUGGAAACGGUAGCUAAUACCGCAUACCAUCGGAUGUGCCCAGAUGGGAGUAGCUAGUAGGUGGGGUAAAGGCUCACCUGGGCGACGAGCCCUAGCUGGUAUGAGAGGAGGACCAGACAAACUGGAACUGGGAGAAGGUCCAGACUCCUACGGGAGGCAGCAGGGGGGAAUAUUGAACAAUGGGCGCAAGCCUGAUGCAGCCAUGCCGCGUGUAUGAAGAAGGCCUUCGGGUUGUAAAGUACUUUCAGCGGGGAGGCGUUACCCGCAGAAGAAGCACCGGCUAACUCCGUGCCAGCCGCCGCGGUAAUUC
rnacentral:rRNA from 1 species